AACGAAGGGUGUAUGGUGGAUACCUUGGCUUCAAGAAGCGAUGAAAGACGUGAUAUGGCUGCGAUAAGUUUCGGUGAGGUGCCAAAUAACCUUUGACCCGGAAAUGUCUGAAUGGGGAAACCCCACUGUCAUCGGCAGUGAUCCUUGUAUGAGGAGGCGUACCUAGGGAAGUGAAACAUCUCAGUACCUAGAGGAAUAGAAAGCAAUAGACGGAAAUUUCUUUUUGAGCGGAUGCUUUGCAUCAGCUCAAGCAAUUGAGCAUGGUGCCUAGCGCCAUUACGCUCAAGAAGAAGUUUCUUGCGAUUCCCGGAGUAGCGGCGAGCGAAAGGGGAACAGCCCAAACCAUACGUAUUUAUAUGUAUGGGGUUGUAGGGCGAAAUCUGCAUUUAGUUGCGCAGAGUUAUCAAAGCGUAAUAUAGGAAAACGAGCUGGGAAGCUCGACCCCAGAAGGUAAUAGUCCUGUAUUCGAAAUGUUACGCUCUCUGUUGAUUUCGUUCCUGAGUAGCCCGAGACAUGAAUAGCUCGGGUGAACCCGCCAGUACUAACUGGUAAGGCUAAAUAUUCUUGAAGACCGAUAGUGAACUAGUACCGUGAGGGAAAGGUGAAAAGAACCCCGGAGAGGGGAGUGAAAUAGAUUUGAAACCAUACAUCUACAAGGAGUCGGAGCCCUGCGGGGCGACGGCGUGCCUAUUGAAGAAUGAGCCGGCGAGUGUACCUUUAUCCCUUGUCUAAGUGGCAAUCCCACGGAGGCACAGUGAAAGCGAGCGUGAACAGCGCGACUAUGGGGUAGGGGUACGACCCGAAGCGGGAUGAGCUUGCCAUGAGCAGGGUGAAGCGACUGUAAUAGGUCGUGGAGGCCCGAACCGGUUGGCCGUACAAAACCAUCGGAUGACUUGUGGUAAGGAGUGAAAAGCUUAUCGAAUUCCGUAAUAGCUGGUUCUCUCCGAAACAGCUUUAGGGUUGGCGUCAAAUGUUUCUGCUGGGGGUAGAGCACUGGAAAAGAAGAACAGGGAGAAAUCUCGUCUUCUUUAUCAAACUCCGAAUACCAGUUAGUUAAGUUUGGCAGUUAGACUAUGGGGGAGAAGCUCCAUUGGUCAAAAGGGAAACAGCCCAGAUCGCCAGUUAAGGUCCCUAAAUUCAUGCUCAGUGCAAAAUGAGGAGGUGAGGAUUCCUCAACAGCCAGGAGGUUGGCUUAGAAGCAGCCAUCCUUUAAAGAAAGCGUAACAGCUCACUGGUCGAGAGUCCUUGCGCCGAAAAUGAUCGGGGCUCAAGCAUGAUACCGAAACUGCGGAUUUGUACUUUUAGUACAAGUGGUAGGAGAGCGUUCGUAUUGCGAUGAAUCCAAGGCGGGAGCCGCGGUGGAGCGAUGCGAAGUGAGAAUGCCGGCACAAGUAACCGCAAGGCAGGUGAGAACCCUGCCCGCCGAAAUACCAAGGUUUCCUUCGCGAUGGUGAUCAGCGAAGGGUUAGUCGGUCCUAAGGGAAUCCCGAAUGGGGGACUCGAUGGAUAGCAGGUUAAUAUUCCUGCACACUGCUACGUUCCUAUGGAGGGACGGAGUGUUGUACCCAAAGCUUCUUAUUGGAUUGGAGCUGGAACUAUGAGGACGUGUCUUAGGCAAAUCCGGGACAUAUAAUCCGAGUAGGGUCUGAACUUACGGCUACGGCCGUGGGAAUGAGGGGAGCACACUUCCGAGAAAAACUUCGUUUGGGUUAAGCGUAGCGGUUCCGUACCGCAAACCGACACAGGUGGUAGAGUCGAGAAGACUAAGGCGAACAAGUGAGAGGUCCUCAAGGAACUCGGCAAAAAAGCGACCGUAACUUAGGGAUAAGGUCUGCCCAAUCUCUUCGGAGGGAGGGCCGCAGCGAAAGAUUUCCUGCCGACUGUUUAACAAAAACACAGCUCUCUGCAAACACGAAAGUGGAAGUAUAGAGGGUGACGCCUGACCUAUGCCGGAAGGUUAAAUACGGGGGGUGAUAUGAGAUUCGUCUUGUAUUGCUGGACUGUAUAAGCCCCGGUAAAUGUCAGCGAUAACUAUAAUCGUUCUAAGGUCGAGCGCAUGAUCCAAUAAAUCAUACGCUCGACGGAUUGGAACGAUUGUAGGGUUAAGCAGCCUAGCCACAGUUACCUUAUGGGUCAGAAAUGAUUCAUAUAAUCCAAACCAAACCUACAAGAGACCAAAUGUUUGGCACCGCAGCAUUCACGCAAGUGAGAUGGUGGUGAAGAUAGAGUCCUAUUGUGUACGUGUGAUUCAAGGGUCACACAUAAAAGAAGGGAAAAUAGAGCGUAUUUCCUUGUCGGGUAAGUUCCGACGUGCACGAAUGGCGUAACGAGUGGGAAACUGUCUCGAGGACUUGCUUGGUGAAAAUACAAUCGCGGUAAAGAUGCCGCGUACCUGCAGUUAGACGAAAAGACCCCAGGAGCUUUACUGUAGCUUCGUAUUGGGGCUAUUGAAUUAAUGCGUAGUAUAGGUGUGAGACUUUGAAGCGGGCUUUCGGGUACCGUGGAGUCGCCAGUGAAAUAGCACCCUUUAUUUUGGUAGUCUCUAACCGGUGAGGAAAAACCUCAUCGAGACAGUGCGUGGCAGGCAGUUUUAGUGGGGCGCUACCCUCCCAAAAUGUAACGGAGGGGUCUCAAGGUUGGUUAGUCGCGAAUGGAAACCGUGACGAUAGUGUAAUGGCAUAAACCAGCUUGACUGUGAGGAGUAGAUUCCGAACAGACACGAAAGUGGAGCAUAGUGAACCGAUGGUUGGCUUUAGAUGCCGCCGGAGAUUACCCGAUAAAAGUUACCCUGGGGAUAACAGGCUAGUCGUGCCCAAGCGUCCAUAGCGACGGCACGGUUCGGCACCUCGAUGUCGGCUCAUCUUAUCCUGGGGCUGGAGCAGGUCCCAAGGGUUUGGCUGUUCGCCAAUUAAAAAGAUACGCGAGCUGGGUUUAGACCGUCGUGAGACAGGUUGGUCUCCUAUCUACUGCAGGCGUCGAUUUUUGAGGAGAGUUGUCCCUAGUACGAGAGGACCGGGAUGAACGAACCUCUGGUCUAUCGGCUGUCACGCCAGUGGCACUGCCGAGUAGCUAUGUUCGGAAUGGAUAACCGCUGAAAGCAUCUAAGCGGGAAGCCAACUCCAAGAUUAGAAAUCAUUAAGUUCCCAGAGAGAUGAUCUGGUUGAUAGGCACUAGGUGUACGCACAGUGAUGUGUUUAGCCGAGGUGUACUAAUAGAACGUAGUUU
rnacentral:rRNA from 1 species